AACGAACGCUGGCGGCAUGCCUAGCACAUGCAAGUCGAACGAAGGCUUCGGCCUUAGUGGCGCACGGGUGAGUAACGCGUGGGAAACUGCCUAUUGGUGGGGAAUAACGACGGGAAACUGUCGCUAAUACCGCAUAAGCCCUUCGGGGGAAAGAUUUAUCGCCGAUAGAUGUGCCCGCGUCCGAUUAGCUAGUUGGUGAGGUAAUGGCUCACCAAGGCGACGAUCGGUAGCUGGUCUGAGAGGAUGAUCAGCCACACUGGGACUGAGACACGGCCCAGACUCCUACGGGAGGCAGUAGUGGGGAAUAUUGGACAAUGGGCGAAAGCCUGAUCCAGCAAUGCCGCGUGAGUGAUGAAGGCCUUAGGGUUGUAAAGCUCUUUCGGGUGGGACGAUGAUGACGGUACCACCAGAAGAAGCCCCGGCUAACUUCGUGCCAGCCGCCGCGGUAA
rnacentral:rRNA from 1 species